CUGCGGGGAGGUGCUGGGCUUCCUGGGCAGCUCGUCGGUGUUCUGCAAAGACUGCAGGAAGAAAGUCUGCACCAAAUGUGGGAUCGAGGCCUCCCCUGGCCAGAAGCGGCCCCUGUGGCUGUGUAAGAUCUGCAGUGAGCAAAGAGAG
rnacentral:misc_RNA from 1 species